rnacentral:rRNA from 1 species
UAAUGUUUGAUGUUCUAACGUGGACCCGUGAUCCGGGUUGCGGACAGUGUCUGGUGGGUAGUUUGACUGGGGCGGUCUCCUCCUAAAGAGUAACGGAGGAGCACGAAGGUUGGCUAAUCCUGGUCGGACAUCAGGAGGUUAGUGCAAUGGCAUAAGCCAGCUUGACUGCGAGCGUGACGGCGCGAGCAGGUGCGAAAGCAGGUCAUAGUGAUCCGGUGGUUCUGAAUGGAAGGGCCAUCGCUCAACGGAUAAAAGGUACUCCGGGGAUAACAGGCUGAUACCGCCCAAGAGUUCAUAUCGACGGCGGUGUUUGGCACCUCGAUGUCGGCUCAUCACAUCCUGGGGCUGAAGUAGGUCCCAAGGGUAUGGCUGUUCGCCAUUUAAAGUGGUACGCGAGCUGGGUUUAGAACGUCGUGAGACAGUUCGGUCCCUAUCUGCCGUGGGCGCUGGAGAACUGAGGGGGGCUGCUCCUAGUACGAGAGGACCGGAGUGGACGCAUCACUGGUGUUCGGGUUGUCAUGCCAAUGGCACUGCCCGGUAGCUAAAUGCGGAAGAGAUAAGUGCUGAAAGCAUCUAAGCACGAAACUUGCCCCGAGAUGAGUUCUCCCUGAGACUUAGAGUCUCCUGAAGGAACGUUGAAGACGACGACGUUGAUAGGCCGGGUGUGUAAGCGCAGCGAUGCGUUGAGCUAACCGGUACUAAUGAACCGUGAGGCUUAACCUU